CGGGACUCGCUCCGUGCUGCUGCUGCCGUGCGAGCGAGCGUGCGGGCGAUUCCCGGCGCGGCGGAGCCCGGGAGCCGGGAUUUGCCCGGCGGCACGGACGGGCCCGGCUGCAGGCCAGGAGCGGGAUGCCCACGCAGCGAACAGCCCCCCUCGGCCUGUGUAUCCCCGGGCUCUCUGCCCCCCACUCAAGCUGGGCGCCCUUGAAUUGUAUCGCCUAGUUGAAGUUUAAUAUUUGGGGAUAGGGAGGAGAGUUUCGGCUUCUGUUGUGGCGUCUUUUCUUUUCCUAGCUCGGGACGGGCAGCCGGGGAGGGGAGGCAGCCGCAGCCCCGCCGCUCGGAGGAGCCGAGCGCGGUCGUCUCGUCGCCUGCCCGGUGCCACGGCCCAAAGGGUGACAGCAAGGACGGUGCGCAGGGCUCCGGCCUGUGUCUCUCCAGAGAAAGGACUUUCCAGAGAAACAAAUCAAGAAAAAAUAACUGACUUAAUUUCCCUCCACCCAGCAACAGUUCUUCAUAGCUGUACACAGGGACCAUGGAGCAGCAAGAAGGGUUGUGUGGGACAGAGGCUCCUCGGGUGCUCCCACUGGCAGGUGAGAAGGCUGUGGAUAGCACACUGUUUCAGUUGCUGCUGAGCAGUGCCUGGACUAAGUUGAGGACUUUUCAGCUCCGCUCCCCAGCCCACCAACAAGUCUGGGAAGCACAAGAAGCUGGGAGAAGACACAGCAGGGACAGCUGAUCCCAACUGGCCAAAGGGAUAUCCUGUAUCAUAUGACACAUGGUCAGUAUGUAAAUUAGGGGGAAGCUGGCCAGGGGCCACUGCUUGGGAACUGGCUGGACACUGGUCAGGGGAUGGUGGGAAAUUGCAUCGGGCAUCACUUCUUUUGUAUGUUCCUUUUUACUUGUACUAUUACUUUGCAUCCUUUUCUGUUCUAUUAAACUGUCUAUAUCUAAACCCAUGGAUUGUACUGUUGUUCCCAAUUCCCUCCCCCAGCCCGUUGCAGUCCAUGAGCAGCUCUGUGGUGCUCAGCUGCCUGCCGGGUUAAACCACGACAGUGUUUACCUACCUUGGGCUGGGCCUCUCCCGCAGCCUCUGCCAGGCCGCUGGUUCCUGCUGCACUAAAUCAGUCCUCCCUGAGUCAAUGGCUCCUCUCAGUCACUCACAGGAGGUGCAAAUCCAGUGGGGCAAAUUAAGCACAGAAAUGCACAGGCAGAGCAGCCAAGUAGCCAGGAGGCUUCGGCAGCUAAAAUUCAAGUGGGUUCAGAAGUUUUUCCUUGCUUUGAUUUGCUCAGAGUUUAUGCUGAAUUCUUUUGAGUAUGGCAUUUCCUAUUUGUUUUCUUCCUCUUCCCUACUGCCCUCCCUUCAGCUAAGCUCAUGCCUGUCAGUUUUUGUACAGUCUGUGCCUCGCUUGUGGUUUCUAACAUGUGGGGGGUUUGCUUUGCAGUAUUUGUGCAGUGAAUGCACUGUGCUUUGUAAGUGUGCUGCAUUUUCCUCUGGCUGCUGUCAAGGUGUCAUGGAGGUUCCCAUUGUAUGGAAGUGCAAGGGGAACUUGUGAGCCUCCUCAUCCAGCAGGGAAACAGAGAAGGAAAAUCUGAUGUCAUAUGCAGUUGUGCUUAUUUCUGCUUUGGUGUGUGAACUGCAUGACUGUUCUUACGUGGAUAAGGGACACAUCAAUGUGACAGAGGCUGGAAGCAUCCCUGCCGACAGUCAGGGCUGGCAUGUUCCUGUUGAACCCCUGUGAGCUGUGUGUCUGUACUGCAUGGCUUCCUCACACCGAGCUGGAUGCAGAAACGUGCUGCAGUUACAGCCAGCUCCUGCUUAGCUCCUCCCCAGUCAGACUCAAAAUGCCUUUGUCAUGGUCAUUCAAGGAUCUGACUUCAGCACCAGUGACUACCAUUACCUCAGUGAGAUGACUGAAUUACUUACACAUGUUCACCUACUGUCAUGCAGGUGUACUUCAACACUGGGCUACAUCCAGAAGAUGCAGCUUGCACCAAGCACUUCCCUAUAGCUGAAGUUUGCAAUGGUAAGGCUAUUGUGGGCUGUGUUUCUCCAUGCCACAAAAUAAAAAUCACCAGGUGGUCCUAGCUACACCUGGCUGCACAUGUA